rnacentral:rRNA from 1 species
GAUUCUGGCUCAGGAUGAACGCUGGCGGCGUGCCUAACACAUGCAAGUCGAACGGACUUACAUUGAAGCCUAGCGAUAUGUAAGUUAGUGGCGGACGGGUGAGUAACGCGUGGGUAACCUGCCUUGUACUGGGGGACAACAGUUGGAAACGACUGCUAAUACCGCAUAAGCGCACAGCUUCGCAUGAAGCAGUGUGAAAAACUCCGGUGGUACAAGAUGGACCCGCGUCUGAUUAGCUGGUUGGUGAGGUAACGGCCCACCAAGGCGACGAUCAGUAGCCGGCCUGAGAGGGUGAACGGCCACAUUGGGACUGAGACACGGCCCAAACUCCUACGGGAGGCAGCAGUGGGGAAUAUUGCACAAUGGGGGAAACCCUGAUGCAGCAACGCCGCGUGAGUGAAGAAGUAUUUCGGUAUGUAAAGCUCUAUCAGCAGGAAAGAAAAUGACGGUACCUGACUAAGAAGCCCCGGCUAACUACGUGCCAGCAGCCGCGGUAAUACGUAGGGGGCAAGCGUUAUCCGGAUUUACUGGGUGUAAAGGGAGCGUAGACGGUUUUGCAAGUCUGAAGUGAAAGCCCGGGGCUUAACCCCGGGACUGCUUUGGAAACUGUAGGACUAGAGUGCAGGAGAGGUAAGUGGAAUUCCUAGUGUAGCUGUGAAAUGCGUAAAUAUUAGGAGGAACACCAGUGGCGAAGGCGGCUUACUGGGCUUUAACUGACGCUGAGGCUCGAAAGCGUGGGUAGCAAACAGGAUUAGAUACCCUGGUAGUCCACGCUGUAAACGAUGAUUACUAGGUGUUGGUGGGUAUGACCCAUCGGUGCCGCAGCAAACGCAAUAAGUAAUCCACCUGGGGAGUACGUUCGCAAGAAUGCAACUCAAAGGAAUUGACGGAAUC